UGAGGAACAUGACCUUCGCGGGGGAGUAGCCGGCCCAACGGCCGGGUAAUACCACGUACGACCACAUGGGGACAUCCCCGAGUGGUGAAAGCAGCAAUGCGCCGAUGGAGUGCCUCGCGGCCUAUCAGCUAGUUGGUGAGGUAACGGUUCACCAAGGCGACGACGGGUAGCUGGUCUGAGAGGAUGGCCAGCCACAUUGGGACUGAGACACGGCCCAGACUCCUACGGGAGCAG
rnacentral:rRNA from 1 species